rnacentral:rRNA from 1 species
GUAGGAGGCAAACGUUAUUCGGAUUUACUGGGCGUAAAGCGGGUGUAGACGGCUUUUUAAGUCGGUUGUGAAAUCUCUUGACUUAAUUGAGAGAAGACAUCCGAUACUACCAAGCUUGAGGACAGCAGAAGAAAGCGGAAUUCACGGUGUAGCGGUGAAAUGCGUAGAUAUCGUGAGGAACACCAGUGGCGAAGGCGGCUUUCUAGGAUGCUCCUGACGUUGAGGCCCGAAAGUGUGGGGAGCGAAACGGAUUAGAUACCCGUGUAGUCCACACCCUAAACGUUGAAUACUAGGUAUAGGGGGUAUCGACCCUCUCUGUGCCGAAGCUAACGCUUUAAGUAUUCCGCCUGGGGACUACGGCCACAAGGCUA